AUGAACGCUGGCGGCGUGCCUCAUACAUGCAAGUCGAGCGAACAGACGAGGAGCUUGCUCCUCUGACGUUAGCGGCGGACGGGUGAGUAACACGUGGAUAACCUACCUAUAAGACUGGGAUAACUUCGGGAAACCGGAGCUAAUACCGGAUAACAUGUUGAACCGCAUGGUUCAACAGUGAAAGACGGUCUUGCUGUCACUUAUAGAUGGAUCCGCGCCGCAUUAGCUAGUUGGUAAGGUAACGGCUUACCAAGGCAACGAUGCGUAGCCGACCUGAGAGGGUGAUCGGCCACACUGGAACUGAGACACGGUCCAGACUCCUACGGGAGGCAGCAGUAGGGAAUCUUCCGCAAUGGGCGAAAGCCUGACGGAGCAACGCCGCGUGAGUGAAGAAGGUCUUCGGAUCGUAAAACUCUGUUAUUAGGGAAGAACAAAUGUGUAAGUAACUAUGCACGUCUUGACGGUACCUAAUCAGAAAGCCACGGCUAACUACGUG
rnacentral:rRNA from 1 species